ensembl:lncRNA
AGUGAGACAAGGUGCUAACGGACAGUUAGGUCUCCAGUUGUCUCGCUUCAUCCUGAACCAAAAUGUUUUUUUUUGACGAGCUGCAACUUAAGGCAUCAAUAACUACAUGUCGAUGGAACCAGUAGGUGACGUUGGUGGACUCCGUAGUUCAGCUGCUUUGGGACUUUUCAUAGUUUUGCUCACCAGGGUUGAAUCCAGGUUACGAUCUUUCAAUAGGUGUAAUCUCUUGAAUGUAUUUCUUCAUCGUGGCGGUGAUGUAGUGCUCACUUAUACAACCGUUACCACUGCACUGGAUGUGAGAUAUGUGAGAUAUGUGAGAUAUGUGUGAUAUGUGAGAUAUGUGACAUAUGUGUGAUAUGUGAGAUAUGUGAGAUGUGUGUGAGAUGUGUGAGAUAUAUGUGAGAUAUGUGUGAUAUAUGUGAGAUAUAUGUGAGAUAUGUGUGAUGUGUGUGAUAUGUGUGAGAUAUAUGUGAGAUAUGUGUGAUAUAUGUGAGAUAUGUGUGAUAUGUGAGAUAUUUGUGAUAUGUGAGAUAUGUGAGAUAUGUGAAAUAUGUGUGAUAUGUGUGAUAUGUCUGAUAUGUGUGAUAUGUCUGAUAUGUGAGAUAUGUCUGAUAUGUGUGAUAUGUGAGAUAUAUGUGAAAUAUGUG